CUGGCUGUAGCUCAGGAGUGAGAGCGCUUGGUCGGGGACCAAGAGGCCGCAGGUGCGAAUCCUGUCAGUCAGA
rnacentral:tRNA from 1 species